AUAAGCGGAGGAAAAGAAACCAACAGGGAUUGCCCUAGUAACGGCGAGCGAAGCGGCAACAGCUCAAAUUUGAAAUCUGGCUACUUUGUAGUCCGAGUUGUAAUUUGUAGAGGAUGCUUUUGGUGAGGUGCCUUCCGAGUUCCCUGGAACGGGACGCCAGAGAGGGUGAGAGCCCCGUACGGUUGGAUACCAAACCUUUGUAUAGCUCCUUCAACGAGUCGAGUAGUUUGGGAAUGCUGCUCUAAAUGGGAGGUAUAUCUCUUCUAAAGCUAAAUAUAGGCUAGAGACCGAUAGCGCACAAGUAGAGUGAUCGAAAGAUGAAAAGCACUUUGAAAAGAGAGUUAAACAGCACGUGAAAUUGUUGAAAGGGAAGCGCCUAUGACCAGACUUGUUUCUUUCAGUUUUGUUAGUUCUCGGACUGAUUUACUCUGUUAGUACAGGCCAGCAUCAGUUUGUUGUCGGGGAGAAAGGCUUAGGGAAUGUGGCUCCUUCGGGAGUGUUAUAGCCCUUUGCAUAAUACCCUUCGGCAGACUGAGGACCGCGCUUCGGCAAGGAUGCUGGCGUAAUGGUCAUCAGCGACCCGUCUUGAAACACGGACCAAGGAGUCAACCUUAUGUGCGAGUGUUUGGGUGUAAAACCCCAGCGCGUAAUGAACGUGAACGUAGGUGAGAGCUUCGGCGCAUCAUCGACCGAUUCUGAUGUUCUCGGAUGGAUUUGAGUAAGAGCACACAGGGUUGGACCCGAAAGAAGGUGAACUAUGCUUGUAUAGGGUGAAGCCAGAGGAAACUCUGGUGGAGGCUCGCAGCGGUUCUGACGUGCAAAUCGAUCGUCAAAUAUGAGCAUGGGGGCGAAAGACUAAUCGAACCUUCUAGUAGCUGGUU
rnacentral:rRNA from 1 species